rnacentral:lncRNA from 1 species
GUCACAGGAAUGCACAGGUACAGCGUCACUUCCCGAUGAUGUCACUAUUUUUGCUUGGUGGAAGAGAGAGAAGAGAAUGUCACCUGUGGAUGAUUCAUCUUCGCAGCAGCUGGUUUGGUCCAGGUGUCUGGCCCCAGGGAGAAGCUUCUGUGUUUGGAGGUUGUGCAGACAUGAGUUCCAAGCUGAGAAGCUGUGCGACUAUGGGAGAGGGAUCUUCUGUCUGCACAGUGCAGCUGUCAGCCUUCCCUACAGAAGCGAACCCACGUGGCUGGAGCACUGGGGAGAGCAUUAUCUCCAGCUUCGCUGAACUUCCCACAUGUAGCCUUUGAAAUUUUUCCCGCUCAACGGUCUACCCCACUCCACUGCAGCCUUGAAAGAAGAUGUCUGAAAGUAGUCUAUUUUUAGUACGGAGCUGGUUGUGAAGAGAUCAUGAGUGGGAGAACUGGUUUCAGGGAAACUUGCAUGUCCUCAAGCUGCCCUUUGGUUGUGUGCCCCACCCCUGCAGCCGUACACCCCUCUCCACGUUGUCAUUUUUAAAAAGUUGUACUCUGUUGCUAUUUGGAAUAAAUGUCUCAGUUCCCG